GAGAGAGAGAGAGAGAGAGGACAUGAAUGAAAUAAUCAUUUUUUAAUUUAAUCUAGCUGCUAAGUUUUUUUUUUGAAGAUAAAAUUAAUUAGAAUUAGAACUACAAGCAAAUAUGAUUACUAUUUAUGGCAAUAUCUUUCUGUUUUCUUAUUUUUCAUUGCUUUUCUUUUUGAAUUUUAUUAAAAAUAUUUUAAGAAAAUGUUUCUGUUCGGUAUUUUUUUAAAGUUAUUAAUUUGAGAUUCCAAAUUUGGAUUUUCUCUUUAAAAGCUUUCUGUGGUGAUGGAAUCAAAAUUUGGGGAUUUUUGUAUUGAAAGAGGAUUGGAUCAGGUGUAUUAGAUUGCUUGUAAUCAGAUGAGUUUUGGUAGCUAUAUGAUCGUAGUCAAAAAGCUUGAUUCAAUCUUGUAUACAUAGUCGUUGAAUAGUUUUCAGGCUAAGUGUUAUGUCAAUUUGGCUUGAAAAACGAAAGGAUUAAUGAGGAGCACCCUUUUCAAUUGAAUCCAGCAGUGGUUCAUUUAUUGAACUCAAUCUCUGUCCGUGAUUCAUUGAUUGCGCAUUCGUAGUUUACUUGAACUGUAAUUAGAGCUUGGAAUGCUUCUUCAGGAACUUUAAUUAGAGCUUGGAAUUUGAUAUUGAAAAGAAGCUUAGUUAGAUUUUGUUUAACUAGUAAUUAGAGCUUGGAAAUUGAGAAGUACCUUCAUUUUUGUUUUUCUCACAAAAUUUGAUGGGUUUUCCUAGAAAAAAUUGAGGAGUUUUAGAUUGUGUGGUUAAUGCGUUAAUUUUUUUUUUGUUGGGUUUCUUUACUGUCUGGGUUUUCAUCAAAAUUUGGAGGGUAAGGAUGUUAGAGACCGAGCUAUAUCCUUCUCGGAUAUUUUCUCCUUUUCGAGAGGAAAGUGGCGAUGAAGAGCUCUCUGUGCUUCCU
rnacentral:misc_RNA from 1 species